rnacentral:rRNA from 1 species
UGAACGCUGGCGGCGUGCCUAAUACAUGCAAGUCGAGCGAACAGAUAAGGAGCUUGCUCCUUUGACGUUAGCGGCGGACGGGUGAGUAACACGUGGGUAACCUACCUAUAAGACUGGAAUAACUCCGGGAAACCGGGGCUAAUGCCGGAUAACAUUUAGAACCGCAUGGUUCUAAAGUGAAAGAUGGUUUUGCUAUCACUUAUAGAUGGGCCCGCGCCGUAUUAGCUAGUUGGUAAGGUAACGGCUUACCAAGGCAACGAUACGUAGCCGACCUGAGAGGGUGAUCGGCCACACUGGAACUGAGACACGGUCCAGACUCCUACGGGAGGCAGCAGUAGGGAAUCUUCCGCAAUGGGCGAAAGCCUGACGGAGCAACGCCGCGUGAGUGAUGAAGGUCUUCGGAUCGUAAAACUCUGUUAUUAGGGAAGAACAAAUGUGUAAGUAACUGUGCACGUCUUGACGGUACCUAAUCAGAAAGCCACGGCUAACUACGUG